rnacentral:rRNA from 1 species
UACGGAGGAUCCAAGCGUUAUCCGGAUUUAUUGGGUUUAAAGGGUGCGUAGGCGGUUUUAUAAGUUAGAGGUGAAAUCUCGGGGCUCAACUCCGAAAUUGCCUCUAAUACUGUAGGACUAGAGAGUAGUUGCGGUAGGCGGAAUGUAUGGUGUAGCGGUGAAAUGCUUAGAGAUCAUACAGAACACCGAUUGCGAAGGCAGCCUGCCGGCCCCACACUGACGCUGAGGCACGAAAGCGUGGGUAUCGAACAGG